UUCCAUCCGUAUCCACAUUGUACAGAUGAGGAAACCAAGGCCCAGAGAAGUGAAGUAACUUUGCUCAAAAUGUCACUAUUAGUAAGCAGUGGUGGCUGGGAGAUGAACUCAAGCCAGCUGGCACUAGAUGUUACCCUCCUCCCCAGAACCCGGACUGCAGGUCCAGGAGAGGAGGGUGAGGAGGCAGCUGGGGAUGGGUGUGGCCCCAGGAGGGAAUGUGGGCUGUGAGUACCAUGUCCUGUUUACCUGUGAGGGAAGUCAGACCCCUGAGUCAGAACGCGUGCGGGACUGUUUUGUUGGAGUCAUCAUCGUGUGUGGGUGUCCGGGCCUGACUACUCUGGAAGGAAAGGAUUCCCAGGAUUCCUAAGGCCAUGGUCCUGAAAUCUAAGACACCUCAAAGACUGAGAUGACGACUGGUAGUUGUUGAAGAAAGAAAAUUAGGAAGUCAGCCUUACCACAGCACGGAUUGGCACUGAUGAGGAAGUGCAGCCGAGGGCAGGAGGGAACGCCCUGGAAGGUGUGGAUGCUGAGCUGGGGAGGCUCCUAGACGAAUCGCCCCCAUCUGCUGACUGUGCCAGCCAUGCGUAUGUAGGAUAGAGUGGCCCAGGGAUGAUAAAAACAGUCUGUGUGCCGUGGGAAGAAGGCAGAUUGUUUCCUUAGCUGGGACUUGGCUUUUGUCCAGGGCAACUCCGGUGUGUGGGAGCAACAGGUCCCAUUUUAGCAAUUAUAUGUCAAUGAUUUGAAAAU